rnacentral:lncRNA from 10 species
CAUGUUCUGAUUGGAUGAGAGCAAGUCUUAACACAACCAAUCACAGCAUGAAAAUAAAGUCCAAUCAGAGUAGGCCUAGAGGUUUUUCUCUCAUCCAAUCAGAAUAUGUAGUCCAGGAACGGCAUUUGCAUAACCUCGGUAUAUAAAGCAUGGUGAGGUCGCAUCAGGUCAUUUCAGGCUCUGCUGUGUCAAGUCGGGGAGCGGCUCUUUGCUCAGCUUAGAGAACUGGAAGAGGCCGCAACCUUCUGCCUGCUGGAGGCUGGAGGAUGGAUGGAGCCUGGAGCCUGGGACACUACCUUGCUGUGGUUGGUGGUGGCGACAGAGCAGUAAGAGGGUGGCCGGCAGCAGGAGCUUGUCCUGCUGGGCUGGAGGACUAGGAGAAGGAAGAGGCACCACCACAUGCUGGAGGCUGAAGCCUGGAGUCUGUGCCACCAUGGCUCGCCUCGCUGUGGUUGGUGGUGACGCUGGAGACUGCAGCUGGGCCACAGUGGUAGAAAUGUGAUGGGGUUUUUGGGGAACAGGUGGCGUUUGAUUGUAAGAGUAAGUUCCUUAGAGGUUGGAAACACUCUCUUUACGGAAUCUGCAAAUGGACAUUUCAGAGCCUAUUGAGGCCUACACUGAAAAACCAAAUAUCCUGCAAUAAAAACUACAAAUAAGCUACCUGUGAAAAUGUUUUGUGAGGUUUGGAUUCAUCUCACAGAUUUAACCCUUUGUUUUGAUUCAGCAGGUUGGAAAUACUCUUGUUGUAGAAUCUAUGAAGGGACAUUUCAGAGCUCAUUGAGGCCUAUAGAGAAAAAUCAAAUAUCCUGCGAUAAAAACUGUAAAGAAGCUACCUCUGAAAAUACUUUGUGAUGUGUGAUUUUAUCUCAGAAGUUGAACUUUUCAUUUGAUUCUGCAGGUUGGAAACUCUUUUUUUGUAGAAUCUACAAGGAGACAUUUCAUAGCCCAUUGAGGCCUAUAGUGAAAAAUCGAAUAUCCCUUGAUAAAGACUAGAAACAACCUAUCUGUAAAAAUGCUUUGUGAUGUGUAGAUUCAUUUUACAAAUUUAAACCUUUGUUUUGCUUCAUCAGGUUGGAAACUCUUUGAAUCUACAAAGGGACAAUUCAGGGCCCAUUGAGGCCUUUAGUGAAAAACCAAUUACCCUCAGUAAAAACUAGAUAUAAGCUAUGGGUGAAAAUGCUUUGUGAUGUGUGGAUUCAUCUCACAAGUUAAACCUUUGUUUUGAUUCAGCAGGUUGGAAACACUCUUUUAAUAGAGUUUAUGAGGGAAAAUUUCAGAGCCCAUUGAAGCCUCUUAAUAAAAACUGAUAAGAAAUAGAAACAAGCUAUCUGUGAAAAUGCUUUGUGAUGUGUGGGUUCAUCUCACAGAGUUAAACCUUUGUUUUGAUUCAGCAGGUUGUAAAGAUUCUUUUUGUAAAAUCUAUGAAGGAACACUGAAGGCCUACAGAGAAACAUCGAAUAUUCUGCAAUAAAAACUAGAAACAAGCUAUUUGUGAAAAAGCUUUGCUAUAAAUGGAUCUUUUUCACAGAGUUAAAUAUUUGUUAUUAUACACAGGUUGGAAACACAUAUUUAGUAGAAUCUAAGAGGAGUCUUUUUUGAGUCCAUUAAGGCCUGUGGUGAAAAACUCAAUAUCCCACAAUUAAAACUAGAAACAGGCUAUCUGUAAAUAUGCUUUGCAAUAUAUGUUUGCAUCUCACAGAGUUAAAUUUUGGGUUUUAUUCAGCAGGCUGGAGACACUUAUUUUUUACAGUCUACUUCGUGACAGUCUACUUCGUGAGGCCUAAAGUGAAAAACCGAGUAUCUUGUGAUAAAACUACAAUCAAUCUGUGAAAAUGCUUUGCAAUGUGUGGAUUCAUCUCAAUGAGUUAAAUGUUUGUUUUGAUUCAGCAGGUUAGAAAUACUCUCUUCGUAGAAUCUAUGAAGGAACAUUUCGGAGCCCUUUGAGGCUUAUAGUGAAAAGCUGAAUAUCCUGUGAUAAAAACUAGAAACAAACUGUCUGUGAAAAUGCUUUGUGAUGUGUGGAUUCAUCUCACAGAGUUAAACCUUUGCUUUUAUAGAGCAGUUUGGAAACAAUUUUUUAGUACAAUCUAAGGGGACAUUAUUGAGCCCAUUCAUUCCUAUAGUGAAAAACAAAAUAUCCUGUCAUAAAAACUAAAACAAACUAUCUGUAAAAAUGUUUUGCAAUGUGUGGAUUCAUCUCAAAGAGUUAAACCUCUGUUUUGAUUCAGCAGGUUGGAAACACUCUUUUUGUAGAAUCUGCAAAGCAACAUUUCAGACCCCAUUCAGGCCUAUAGUGAAAAAUCAAAUAUCCCGCAAUAAAAACUAGAAGCAAGCUAUCCAUGAAAAUGCUUUGUGAUGUGUGGAUUUAUCUCACUGAGUUAAACGUUUGUUUUGAUUCAGCAGCAAAUGUCCUGCAAUAAAAACUACAAAGAAGCUAUGACUAAAAAUGCUUUGUGAUGUGUGACUUUAUCUCACAGAGUUUAACCUUUCUUGUCAUUCAGCAGGUUGGAAACACUCUUUUUCUACAAUCUACAAAGGUACAUUUUGGAGCAAAUUGAGGGUUAUACUGAAAAAUCGAUUAUCUCACAAUACAAACUAGGAAAAAGUUAUCCGUGAAAAUGCUUCGCAAUGUGUGAAUCCAUCUCACAAAUUUAAACCUUUGUGUUCAUUCAGCAGGUUAGGAAUACUUUUUUUGUAGAAUAUACAAAGGGACAUUUGACACCUUUGGAAGCCUAUAGUAAAAAAGCAAUUAUUUCUCAAUAAAAAAUUUGUCUCUGAAAAUGCUUUGUGAUAUGUGGAUUCUUUUCACAGAGUAAAACGUAUGUUUUUAUCCCACAGGUUGGAAACACUGUUGUUGUUGAAUAUGCGAAGGGACAUUUCAGAGCUAAUUGAGGCCUAUAGUGAAAAACCGAAUAUCCCAUGAUAAAAACUAUAAAGAAGCUAUCUCUGAAAAUAUUUUGUGAUGUGUGAUUUUCAUCUCACAAGUUGAACUUUUGUUUUUAUUCAGCAGGUUAGAAACUCCUUUUGUAGAAUCUACGACGGGACAUUUCAUAGCCCAUUGAGGCCUACAGUGAACAAACAAAUAUGCCUUGAUAAAAACUAGAAACAACUUAUCUGUGAAAAUGCUUUGCAAUGUGUAUAUUCAUCUUACAAAUUUAAACCUUUGUUUUGCUUAGCCGGUUGGAACCUCUUUGUUUGUAGAAUCUACAAGGGAAUAUUUUGGGACUCAUUGAGGCCUAUAGUGAAAAUAACAUAUCUCACGGUAAAAACUAGAAAAAAGCUAUGAGUGAAAAUGCUUUGCGAUGUAUGGGUUUAUCUCACAAUAUUAAACCUUUGUUUUGAUUCAGCAGGUUGAAAACACUGUUUUCGUAGAAUCUAUGAAGGGACAUUUUGGAGCCUAUUGAUGCCUAUGGUGAAAAACUGAAUACCCCACAAUAAAAACUAUAAACAACCUAUCUGUGAAAAUGCUUUGCAAUAUGUGGAUUCAUCUCACAGAGUUGAACCUUUGUCUUGAUUCAGCAUGUUUGAAAUACUGUUUUUGUAGAAUCUACAAGGGAUAAUUUCAGAGCAAAUUGAGGCCUAUAGUAUAAAAUCUAAUAUCCUGCAAUAAAAACUAGAAAAAAUCUAUCUGUAAAAAUGCUUUGUGAUAUGUGGGUUCAUCUCACAAAGGUAAAUCUUUAUUUUGAUUCAGCAAGUUGGAAACACUUUUCUUUGUAGAAUCUACAAGGGGACAUUUCAUAGCCCAUGGAGGCCUAUAGUGAAAAACUGAAUAUUCCAUGAUAGAAACUAAAGAAGCUAUAUGUGAAAAUACUUUGCAAUGUGUGGUUUCAUCUCACAUAGUUUAAACUUUAUUUUGAUUCAGCUAGGUUGGAAGCAUUCUUUUUGUAGAAUAUAUGAAGGGACAUUUUGGAGUCCAUGGAGGCCUAUAGUGAAAAACUGAAUAUUCCAUGAUAGAAACUAAAGAAGCUAUAUGUGAAAAUACUUUGCAAUGUGUGGUUUCAUCUCACAUAGUUUAAACUUUAUUUUGAUUCAGCUAGGUUGGAAGCAUUCUUUUUGUAGAAUAUAUGAAGGGACAUUUUGGAGUCCAUUGAGGCCUAUAGUGAAAAACCAAAUAUCCCAUCAUUAAAAACUAGAACUAAGCUAUCUGUGAAAUAGCUUUGCAAUGUGUGGAUUCAUGUCACAGAGCUAAACUUUUGUUUCUAUACAGCAUAUUGGAAACACACUAUUAGUAGAAUCUAAGAUGGGACAAUUCAGAGCCUUUUGAAGCUUAUAGUAAAAAAUUCAAAAUGUGGCAAAAUUUACAUACAAACUAUCUGUAAAAAUGCUUUGUGAUGCGAAGAUUCAUCUCACAGUGUUAAACAUUUGUUUUGAUUCAGCAUGUUGGAAAAAAUUUUUUGUAGAAUCUACAAAGGGACUUUUCGGAGCCCAUUGAGACCAAUAUUGAAAAAAUGAAUAUCCAGCUAUAAAAACUAGAAACAAGCUCUCGGUGAAAAUGCUUUGCAAUGUGUGGAUUCAUCUCUCAGAGUUAAACUUUUAUUUUGAUUCACCCAGUUGGAGACACUUAAUUGGUAGAAUCUAUUAGGGGACAUUUCAUAGCCCAUUGAGGCAUGUGGUGAAAAACUGAAUAUCCCGCAAUAAAAACCUGAAACAAGCGACCUGUGAAAAUGCUUUGUGAUGUGUGGAUUCAUCUCACAGAGUUAAACCUUUGUGUUGAUUCAGUAGGGUUGGAAAGACUUUUUUUAGAAACUACAAAGGAACAUUUUGUAGCCCAUUGAGGCCUAUAGUGAAAAACCGAAUAUCCGGUGAUAAAAACUAGAAACAAGCUAUUUGUGAAAAUGCUUUGCAUUGUAUAGAUUUAUCUCUAAUAGUCAAACCUUUGUUUUUAUACUGCAGUUUUGAAACGUUAUUUUAGUAGAACGUAAAGGAAGACAUUUCUGAUCCCUUUGAGGCCUAUAGUGAAAAACCGAAUAUCCCACAAUAAAAACUAGAAACAAGCUGUGAAAACGCUUUGGGAUGUGUAGAUUCAUCUGACACUGUGAAAAUGCUUUGUGAUGUGUAGAUUCGUCUCACAGAGUUAAACUUUGAUUAUAUACAGCAGGUUGGAAACAUUUAUUUUGUAGCAUUUAAGAAGGUACAAUUAAGAGUCCAUUGAAGCCUACAGUGAAAAACCCAAUAUCCAGUGAUAAAAACUAGAAACAAGCUGUGAAAAUUCUUUGCAACAUGUGGAUUCAUCUCACAGAGUUAAACCUUUGUUUUGAUUCAGUAGGUUGGAAGCAACUCUUUUUUUGAAUCUACAGAUUGACAUUAAAGAGCCCAUUGAGGCCCAUACUGAAAAACUGAAUAUCCUGUGAUAAAAACUAGAAACAAGCUGUCUGUGAAAAUGCUUUGCAAGGUUUAGAUUCAACUCACAGAGUUAAACCUUUGUUUUGAUUCAGCAGGAGGGAAACAAUUUUGUAAAAUCUACUAUGAGACAUUUCAGAGCAAAUUGAGGCUGAUAGUAAAAGUCCAAAUAUCCCUCGAUAUAAACCUGAAACAAGCAAUCUGUGAAAAUAAUUUUUGAUGUGUAGAUUCCUCUCAAAAAGUUAUACCUUUGUUUUGAAUCAGCAGGUUGAAAACACUUUUUUUGUGUGUAAUCUAUGAAGGGACAAGCUAUCUGACAAGGAUUUCAGAGCCCAUUGAGGCGUAUAGUGAAAAACAAAAAAUUCCAAACUAUCUGUGAAAAUGCUUUGCAAUAUGUGGAUUCAUCUCACAAAGAUAAAAGUUUGUUUUGAUUCAGCAGGUUGGCAACACUGUUUUUGUAGAAUCUAUAAGAGGACAUAUUUACAAGAGGUCCACUGAUGCCUAUGGUGAAAAACUGAAUAUCCCACUUUAAAAACUAGAAACAAGCUAUCUGAAAAUAUGCUUUGUGAUGUGUGCAUUCCUUUCACAUAGUUAUACCUUUGUUUUGAUUCAGAAGUUUGAAAACACUCUUGUUAUAGAAUUUUCGAAGGGACAUUUCAGAGUGCAAUGAGGCCUGUAGUGAAAAACCAAAUAUCUCACAAUAAAAACUAGAAACAAGAUAUUUGUGAAAAUGCUUUGCCAUGUGUGAAUUUAUCUCUCAUAUUUAAACCUUUAUUUUGAUUCAGCCUGUUGGAAACACUCUUUUUAUAGAAUCUAAAAAAGAAUAUUUCAAAGCCGCUAGAUGGCUAUACUGAACAACCGAAUACUCCACGAUAAAAACUAGAAACAGGCUAUCUUUGAAAAUGCUUUGUGAUGUGUGGAUUCAUCUCACAGAGUUAAAGCUUUCUUGUGAUUCAGCAGGUUGGAAGUACUCUUUUUGUAGAAUCUACAAGGGGAAGUUUUGGAGCAAAUUGAGGCCUACAUUAUACAAUCGAAUAUUCUGUGAUAAAAACGAAAAAAAAAAUCUAGCUGUAAAAAUGCCUUGUGAUGUGUGGUUUUACCUCACAAAGUUAAAUAUUUUUUUUUUUGAUUCAACAAGUUGGAAACACCUUUUCUGUAGACCUACGAGGGGAUAUUUCAUAGCUCAUGGAAGCAUAUAGUGAAAAACUGAAUAUCCCGUGAUGGAAACUAAGGAAGUUAUAUGUGAAAAUGCUUUGCAAUGUGUGGUUGUAUCUCACAGAGUUUAACUUUCUUUUGAUUCAGCUAGGUUAGAAACACUCUUUAUGUAGAAUGUACAAAGGGACAUUUCAGAGCCGAUUGAGGCCCAUUUCAAAAAACCAUAUAUCCUGUGACAAAAACAAGAAGCAAGCUAUCUGUGAAAUAGCUUUCCAAUGUGGGGAUAUUUCAGAGACCUUUGAGACCAAUAUUGAAAAAAUGAAUAUCCUGCAAUGAAAACUAGAAACAACCUCUUGAAGCCCAUUGAAGCCUAUAGCAAAAAACUGAAUAUCCCAUGAUAAAAAAUAGAAACAAGCUAUUUGUGAAAAUGCUUUGUGAUGUGUGAGUUCAUCUCACAGAGUUAAACCAUUGUUUUGAUUCAGCUGGUAGAAGACACUUAACUGGUACUACUAGAGGACAUUUUGUAGCCCACUGAGGCCUGUGGUGAAAAUCCAAAUAUCCCAUGAUAAAACUAGAAACAAGCUAUCUGUGAAAAUGCUUUGUGAUAUGUGGGUUCAUCUCACAGAGUUAAACCUUGUUUUGAUUCACCAGGUUGGAAAGACUCUUUUUGUAGAAUAUAUGAAGAAACAUUUCACAGCCCAUUGAGGCCUAUAAUGAAAAACUGAAUAUCCGGUGAUACAAACUAGAAACAAGCUAUUUGUGAAAAAGCUUUGUGAUGUGUGGAUUUCUUUCACAGGGUUAAAUAUUUGUUAUUAUACAUCAAGUUGGAAACACAUAUUUAAUAGAAUCUAAGAGGAGUCUUUUUGAGCCUAUUAAAAUCUGUAGUGAAAAACCAAAUAUCCCAUGAUUAAAACUAGAAACAGGCUCUCUGUAAAUAUGUUUGUGAUAUAUGGAUGCAUCUCACAUAGUUAAAUUUUGGUUUUUAUUCAGAAGGUUGGAGACACUUAUUUUUUUCAAUCUACUUGGUGACAAUACAGUUCUCAUUAAUGCCAAUAGUGAAAAUUCAAAUAUCCUGUGAUAAAAUUACAAACAAUCUGUGAAAAUGUUUUGCAAUGUGUGGAUUUAUCUCAAUGAGUUAAAUGUUUGUUUUGAUUCAGCAGUUUGGAAACACUCUGUGCGAUGUGUGGAUUCAUCUCACACAGUUAAACAUUUGUUGCCAUUCAGCAGGAUGGAAACAAUCUUUUUGUAGAAUCUACAAGGGUCAUUUUGACACCCGUUAAGGCUUAUAGUGAAAACCUGGAUAUCCUGAGAUAAAAACUAGAAAGAAGCUAUGUGUGAAAAUGCUUUGCAAUGUGUAAAUUCACCUCAUAGAGUUAAACCUUCAUUUUAAUUCAGAAGGUUGGAAACACUUUUUUUGUAGAAAGGACAUUUUGGAGCCUUUUGAAGCCUAUGGUGAAACCAGAAUAUCCCACAAUAAAUAUUAGAAGCAAGGUAUCUGUGAAAAUGCUUUGUGACAUGUGGAUUCAUCUUACAGAAUUAAACCUUUCUCCUGAUUCUGCAGGUUGGAAAUUCUCCUUUUGUAGAAUCUACAAAGAAAUAUUUUGGAGCCCAUUGAGGCUCAAAUAUCCUGCAAUAAACACUAGAAACUAGCUAUCUGUGAAAAUGAUUGGCGAUGUGUGGAUUAAUUUCACAAAAUUAAAACUUUGUUUUGAUUCAGCACUUUUGAACCACUUUUUUUGUAGCAUCUACGAAGGAACACUUCAGAGUCCUUUGACAGAAAGGGUUAUAGAGGGUUAUAGAGAAAAACGGAAUAUUCCAUGAUAAAAACUAGAAGCAAGUUCUCUGUGAAAAUUCUUUGCAAUGUGUAAAUUCAUCUCACAGAGUUAAACCUUUGCAUUGAUUCAGCAAGUUGGAAACACUCUCUUGUACAAUCUAUGAGGGGAUAUUUGGGAGCCCGUUGAGGCCUAUAGUAAAAAUUUGAGUGUCCCAUAAGAAAAACUAGGAAGAAUUUAUGUCUGAAGAUGCUCUGUAAUGUGUGAUUUCAUCUCACAGCUUUAAACCUUUCUUUUGAUUCUGUAGGUUGGAAUCACUAUUUUUCUUAGAAUCUAUGAAAAGACAUUUUGGAGCAAAAUGAGGACUAUAAUGAAAAAUUGAAUAUCCCACAAUAAAAAUUAGAAACAAGCUGUCUGUGAAAAUGCUUGGCAAUGUGUGGAUUCAUCUCACACAUCUCACAGAGUUAAACCUUUGUUUUGAUUCAGCAGGCCAAAAUUACUCUUUUGGUAAAAUCUACGAAGGAACAUUUUGGAGCCCAUUGAUGCCUGAGGUAAAAAACUGAAAACUGAAUAUCUUGUGAUAAAAACUAGAAACAAGCUUUCUGUGAAAAUGCUUUACAAUGCAUCAUUUUAUGUCACAGAGUUAAAUCUUUGUUUUGAUUCAGCUGGUUAAAAACACUCUUGUAGAAACUAUGAGAGGACAUUUCAGAACAUGUUGAAGUCUAUAGUGAAUAACAAAAUAUCCCGCAAUAAAAACUAGAAGCAAGCUAUCUAUGAAAAUGCUUUGUGAUGUGUGCAUUUAUCUUGCAGAUCUAAACAUUGUUUUGAUUCAUCAGGUGAGAAACACCCUUUUGAUGCAAUGUACAAACGGACGUUUCAGAGCCCACUGAGCCCCAUAGUCAUAAAACCAAAUAUCCUGCUAUAAAACUGGAAACGAGCUAUCUGUGAAAAUGUUUUGUGAUGUGUGGAUUCAUCUCAUAUAGUUAACCCUUUAUUUUGAUUCAGCAGGAUGAAAACACUCUUUGUGUAAAACCUACAAAAGGGAGGUUGGAAACACUCUUAUUGUGAAAUUUACGAAGGGACAUUUUGGAGCCCACUGAAGCCUAUGUGAAAAACCAAAUAUCUCACCAUUAAAACUAGCUAAACAAACUACCCAUGAAAAUGCUUGGCCAUAUGUGGAAUAAUUUUACAGAGUUAAAUCUUUGUUUUUAUUCAGCAAGUUGGAAAUGCUCUCUUGUACAAUCUACGAGGGGACAUUUUGGAGCCCAUUGAGGCCUAUAGUAAAAAAUCAAGUGUCCCGUAAUAAAAACUACAAAGAAUCUAUGUCUGAAAAUGUUCUGUAAUGUAUGAUUUUAUCUCACAGAGUUAAACUGUUGUUUUGUUUCAGCAGGUUGGAAACUCUCUUUUGGUAGAAUCUUCAAAGAGACAUUUGAGAGCCCAUUGAGGCUUGGAGUGAAAAACCAAAUAUCCAGCAAUAAAAACUAGAAACAAGCAAUCUGCAAAAAUGCUUUGUGAUGUGUUCAUUUAUUUUGCAGAGUUAAAACUUCAUUUUGAUUCAACAGGUUAAAAACACUCUUGUAGAAUAUAGGAAGUGACAUUUCUAAGCCCAUUGAGGCCUAUACUGAAAAACUGAAUAUCUCACAACAAAAACUAGAAAAAAAUCUAUCUGUGAAAAUACUUUGCAAUGUGAGGAUUUAUCUCACAGAGGUAAGCCUUUGUAUUAAUACAGCAGGCUGGAAACACUCUUUUUGUAAAAUCUACAAAGGGACAUUUCAUAGACCAUUGAGGCCUACAGUGAAAGAUCAAAUAUUUUGUGAUUAAAACUAGAAAAAAGCUAUCUGUUAAAAUGCUUUGCAAUGUUUGGAUUCAUUUUACAGAGUUAAGCCUUUGUUUGGAUUCAGCAGGUUGAAAACACUCUUUUUGUAGAAUCAACAUAGGGACAUUUCAGAGCACAUUGAGGCCUACGGUGAAAAACCCAACAUCCCAUGAUAAAAACUAGAUUCAAGCUAUCUGUAAACAUGCUAUGCAAUGUCUGGAUUAGCCCAAAAAAGUUAAACCUUUAAUUUGAUUCAGCAAGUAGGAAACACUGUUCUUGUAGAAUCUAAGAAGGGACACUUCAGAGCCCAUUUAGGCCUAGAGUGAAAACCCACUUAUCCUGCGAUAAAAACUAGAAACAAGCUAUCUGUGAAAAUCUUUUCUGAUGUGGGCAUUCAUCUCAAAGAGUUAAACCUUUCUUUUGAUUCAGCAGGUUGGAAACACUCUUUUAGUAGAAUCUACAGAGGGACAGUUUGGAACCUAUUUAGACCCAUAGUCAAAAAAGCAAAUAUCCCACAAUAAAAACUAGUAACAAGCUAUCUGUGAAAAUGCUUUGCAAUGUGGGGAUUCAUCUCACAGAGUCAAACCUUUGUUUGGAUUCAGCAGGAUGAAAACACACUUUUUGUAAAUCUACAAAGAGGACUUUGGAAAAACUCUUUUUAUGAAUCUACAAAGGGACAUUUUGGAGCCCAUUCAGGUCUACAGUAGAAAACCAAAUAUUCCAGGAUAAAAACUAAAAACAAGCUAUCUGUGAAAAUGCUUCUUGAUGUGUGCAUUCACCAAAUAUAGGUAAACUUUUUUUUUGAUUCAGCAGGUUGGAAACCCUCUUUUUAUAGAAUCUACAAAGGGGCAUUUCGAAGCCCAUUGAGGCCUAUAGUGAAAAAUUGAACAUUCAACAAUAAAAACUAGUAACAAGCUAUAUUUGAAAUUGCUUUGUGAUGUGUGGGUUCAUCUCACUGUUACAUCAUCAUUUUGAUUUAGCAGGUUGGAAAUGCUCUUUUGUAGAAUCUAUGAAGGAACAUUUGGAAUCGCAUUAAAGCCUAUAGAGAAAAACUGAAUAUUCUGCAAUAAAAACUAGGAACGAGGUAUCUGUGAAAAUGCUCUUCGAUGUGUGCAUUCAUCUCACAGAGAUAAACAUUUCUUUUGAGUCAUCAGAUUGGAAACUCUUU